GAUGAACGCUAGCGGCAGGCCUAACACAUGCAAGUCGAGGGGUAAGGUUCAGCUUGCUGAACACACGACCGGCGCACGGGUGAGUAACGCGUUUGCAAUUUACCUCUAACUGGAAGAUAGCCCGAAGAAAUUCGGAUUAAUACUCCAUAAUAUUAGGAAUUCGCAUGAUUUCCUAAUUAAAGCUCCGGCGGUUAGAGAUGAGCAUGCGUGUCAUUAGCUAGUUGGUAAGGUAACGGCUUACCAAGGCGACGAUGACUAGGGGGUCUGAGAGGAUGGUCCCCCACACUGGUACUGAGACACGGACCAGACUCCUACGGGAGGCAGCAGUGAGGAAUAUUGGGCAAUGGGCGCAAGCCUGACCCAGCCAUGCCGCGUGCAGGAUGACUGCCCUAUGGGUUGUAAACUGCUUUUAUACGGGAAGAAUGGUUCCUACGUGUAGGGAUUUGACGGUACCGUAAGAAUAAGCAUCGGCUAACUCCGUGCCAGCAGCCGCGGUAAUACGGAGGAUGCAAGCGUUAUCCGGAUUCAUUGGGUUUAAAGGGUGCGCAGGCGGAAUAUUAAGUCAGUGGUGAAAUCCUGCAGCUUAACUGUAGAACUGCCAUUGAUACUGAUAUUCUUGAAUAUAGUUGAGGUGGGCGGAAUGUGUAAUGUAGCGGUGAAAUGCUUAGAUAUUACACAGAACACCGAUUGCGAAGGCAGCUCACUAAACUAAUAUUGACGCUGAGGCACCAAAGCGUGGGGAGCGAACAGGAU
rnacentral:rRNA from 1 species